UACGUAGGGUCCGAGCGUUGUCCGGAAUUAUUGGGCGUAAAGGGCUCGUAGGCGGCUCGUCACGUCGGGAGUGAAAACCCAGGGCUUAACCCUGGGCUGGCUUCCGAUACGGGCAGACUAGAGGUAUGCAGGGGAGAACGGAAUUCCUGGUGUAGCGGUGAAAUGCGCAGAUAUCAGGAGGAACACCGGUGGCGAAGGCGGUUCUCUGGGCAUUACCUGACGCUGAGGAGCGAAAGUGUGGGGAGCGAACAGG
rnacentral:rRNA from 1 species